AUUAAAAAUAGUGUAAGAAAAAAUGAUUUUAUUGUAAUAAAAGCGUGGGGUGCAUGAUAUCAGUAGUUAUAAAUAUUUUAUGAACAGAUAUGAGUAGAAGGGUUAUUUUAAUAAUAUCCUGAAAAGCACCCUACGCUUUCUUAGUUGGAUUUUCUAUAAAAGCGUUUUUUUUUUUUUUAACUAUUAUUUAUUAAGCAUUGAACAUUGUUAUAGUGAAUUCGAUGAAUCAAAAAAAAGAGAUUAAUAUUACAGUAUAUCUACUAAGCCGUUUGUAAAUCUUAAUGGGUAUUCCUUGCAUAAACAAGUUACACAACACAGCGUCGCUGAGACGCCUCUUCUGGUUGCUAGGCAACCGUGCAGCCAAUCGAUAACCACCCUAGCGUGAUCCAUUCAUACCCUAACAAUGAAUCUAAGCAUUUUUGUGUUUAUUCAUUAAUUUGGUCGAUGACAGAAAAUAUUGUUAGGAUUUUUAAUUUGACAAAAUUUGAUGUAUUUUGAACUUGUAUCGUGUUUUCCUGUAAGCAUAGUAAUGUAUUAAGCUGUAGUUUUUAAUUAUCCUAGACUCCAGAAAGCCGAAAUAAAUACUAGAUUAUUAUAACGUGUGGUUGAAUAUAAAUGCCAUUAUUAAGCGGUGUACUUUUCUUGGUGUCUAUAUUAUAAUCGAAGACAAAGUCUUAGACUAAUUUAGUAAUAAUUAUAGACGACAUAUAGACAUAACUAUAGUGUACCGGCAUAAUAUUGAUAUAAUUGUUUCCGGAUUGACUGAAGUGAAAAUGUUUAUUUGCUGAACCUCAUCCUAAAAUUUACAUCACCUCGUCAUUACUAUAAAGCAUAUUAAAUUAUUUACAUUUCACACGUACGUUAAAGUUUCAAAGUGCAUAAUUAGUACUUUGCCUUUAUGACUUUAUCAUCCAAGGUAUGGACAUAAUGACUUUCACUAGCACAAAAUAAAUUUAGUUAUUAACCGACUUCAAAAAAGGAUUCUCAAUACGAGUUUAUGUGUCUUAUACCAAAAAAAUUUUCUAAGUGACUUGAUUUUGAUGAUUCUUUACUUAAUUUGAAAGCUGAUGCUUCUCAUUUGGUCUCAUUAAACUUUUAUUAAGAUAUGACCACUAGUUUUUGAGUUACCCUUAAUAAUGCAUACUUAAAUGACUUUGACUACAUUAGUGAAAUUUCCAAUUAAUUUUUAUAAAUGUUUUAUUUAUGUAUGCUAAUCUAUGUUCUCCGUAAGCAGUGAGGUUGUGCCCGCGACCGUAAUGCCAACAAACUCUCAUGAGGAGUGGAACAAAUACACGAAUUAACAUUAAUUUAAUUCAAAUAAAAUUUGGUACGAAGCAAAUUAUUCUCAAGUUAAAAUUUAGUGAUGUGAAUUAAUUUAGAGUCGAGAGAGAGAGUUAUUUAAAUUGACUGUUUUUCGGAUACAUGAAAAUGUAAUAUUAAUUUACUAAUUGCCUAUGCUAUUCACAAUGUAACUGCAAGCGUUUGGUUAAUAAGCUGAUACUUGUGUUCAUGUGAGCGUAUAUUUAGGUCGCCUAAUUAUGUUUCCCAUUGCGGAGAGCCUCCAACCUCCAACCCAGGUAACACCUACUUUUAUUUAAUUAAUAAAAAGUUGGUAGAUGUGAUCUAAAUUUAUUCGAUGAUCAACGGUAAACAGUUCAUUCUACCUUCAGACACUAAAUAGAAGACUAUUUUGUUGGCCUAUCAAAACAUAUAACAAAACCCAUUAUACGUCAUACGUUAGUAUUGCAUACAGACACGUUCAUCAUACAAACUUCACAGAGUAACUAAGAGCGAGGAACAUUGAAAUGAUAAAGUUUUCCAAUUUGUUUUUUCGCUUGGCUUGCGACGACUGACCUCUCACACUGUGACGGCGAUUUAGCGGGCUCAUUUAUAGUUUUGUAUUUAAAUACGUUUUUUGUGCGUUUUCAGGUUACACGUCAACUUAGCGAGAUUCAACUUCUCUGAAGUAACUUAAUGACAACUCGUUUUGACGUCUUGGAAAAAAACGGCAAGAUAGUGGCGACCUGCAAGGCACGGUGCAAACAGUAAAAUAAUUCUUGUUUUUGGCAUCGCAGAAGACCUUAAGUAAACGAUUAUGUGAGGAAGGAAAUUUUCGCAGCUGAAACGUAUAGUACGAAAUCUUAGGCAUUGGCUCUUUUAAGUGAACAUUCGUAAGACGAGAGGCUACGCUCACCGACUCACACAGAUUCUUCAGUUCCGUGGAUCUAAAAAUCGGCUACUCCGACGUAUGAUGGUUGCUGCUUUGCUCGUGUCGAUGAUCAGCCCUCCAGCGUCCCGUCGAGUAACGUCGUGAGGAAGUACACGAGACAGCGCCCGAAGCUCCCAUUCUGUUAACGUGCUGACAUCAAUCUAAUAAACACAUUGGGCUCAAAGGAACAUGAAGCAGAUAUAAUGAUAAUCUUAUUAUUUAUUCGUAGAUAAUAAUAUGAUUUUAAUAUAUUUUGUUAUAUACCUGCUUACGUCUUAUGUAGCUGCAAAUGUAUGUGUCAUAAUAGAUAUUAAUUUUUGGAGUUUACUCCUUUAGAAUCGAUUUACAUAUAUAGGCCCGGGGUAUGAAAAUUAUGGGGACCAAAAUCGUACUAGCAUGUCACACGAAAUGCGUUAUGCGCCUGAUUGGCUCCUGAUUGCGUGAUGCGUGCGCGCGCCAAUCAAAAUCGUACUAGCAUGUCACACGAAAUGCGUUAUGCGCCUGAUUGGCUCCUGAUUGCGUGAUGCGUGCGCGCGCCAAUCAGGAGCCAACGCGCGGCCGCGUUAUUGCAGGUGACGCCGGGCUGCUGCGCCGGCAGUCCGCCACAAAGCCUCGUACUGAUCGCGCGUUUCUCUCAUUAUUGUAUUUUCAUAUAUUUGUUAGUCGUUUGUUUUGUGUCUCGUUAAUUUGUUAAUAAUCUGUAGUGUAUCGUGUUGUCGUAAUAUAGAACUAUUUCUCGUAUUGUUUCGUUUAAUUUUUUAUAUCCAGUAAACUCCAGUCGUGCGUCGGAGCGGACACACACACUUUUUUUUUAUUUUUUUAUUUAUUUCGAUAUCUAUGUAAAUUCUUUGGCGUGUGAAUACUUUGAUAAAGCAUUUUAAACAUAAACGCAUUGUUAUUAUUCAAAA